CUGACAUGCGUGCGAGUCGACGGGCGCGAAAACCCGGAGGCGCAAGGAAGCUGACUAGCGGGAACCCCUCGAGGGGCCGCACCGCUGGCCGACCCGAUCUUCUGUGAAGGGUUCGAGUCGGAGCACGCCCGUCGG
rnacentral:ncRNA from 1 species